GCAAAUUCCAUUGGUCUGUCAUAGCACAGCACUGACGUCUCCUCCACAUGAGCAAUCUUCUGCCAAAAAGAUCCAACCUUUAAAAUUGAUUGAGAAAUUUCUCAAUUAUUACAAACUUCGAAGGUCAAAACCCGAUUGAUUUCAGAAACCCUUCAAAGUUUCUCAGGGUUUAAACAAUUUUGAUCUUUUGAAGCUUUUUUGUAUUAUAAUUGUUGCUGACAAAAUCAAGAAUGUUUACCCGAAUGUUUGGAAAACCUAAACAAGAAACAAAUGCUCUAGCUACGCUAGACAAGUUAAACGAGACUCUUGAGAUGCUUGAGAAAAAGGAGAAGGUUUUACUGAAGAAGGCUGCAGCUGAGGUUGAAAAAGCAAAGGAAUUUACUAGAGCAAAAAACAAAAGGGCUGCAAUACAAUGUUUGAAAAGGAAAAGGCUUUACGAGCAGCAAAUCGAGCAGCUCGGAAACUUCCAAUUGCGUAUUCAUGAUCAGGUGCUCUUCAUAUGUUCCUACAUCUUAGAAUCUCUGCACCACUGUGUCAUAAAAGCACGAAGAGACGGCGAUCU
rnacentral:misc_RNA from 1 species